GCAUAUCAAUUAAGCGGUAGGAAAAGGAACUUACGAAGGAUUCCCCUAGUAACUGCGAGUGAAGCGGGAAAAGCUCAAAUUUAAAAUCUGGUGGCCUUUGGUCAUCUCGAGUUGUAAUCUAGAGAAGUGUUACCCGCGUCGGACCGUGUACAAGUCUCCUGGAAUGGAGCGUCAUAGAGGGUGAGAAUCCCGUCUUUGACACGGACUACCGAGGCUUUGUGGUGCGCUCUCAAAGAGUCGAGUUGUGUUGGGAAUGCAGCUCAAAAUGGGUGGUAAAUUCCAUCUAAAGCUAAAUAUUGGCGAGAGACCGAUAGCGAACAAGUACCGUGAGGGAAAGAUGAAAAGAACUUUGGAAAGAGAGUUAAACAGUACGUGAAAUUGCUGAAAGGGAAACGCUUGAAGUCAGUUGCGUUGGCCGGAAAUCAGCCUUCCUUUUGGUUGGUGUACUUUCUGGUUGACGGGCCAGCAUCAGUUUUGACCGAUGGAUAAAGUUGUAGGGAAUGUGGCAUCUUCGGGUGUGUUUAUAGCCUUGCUUCGUAUACAUCGGUGGGGACUGAGGAACUCAUCACGCCGAAAGGCCGGGGUUCGCCCACGAUCGUGCUUAGGAUGCUGGCAUAAUGGCUUUAAUCGACCCGUCUUGAAACACGGACCAAGGAGUCUAACAUGCCUGCGAGUGUUUGGGUGGAAAACCCGAGCGCGUAAUGAAAGUGAAAGUCGUAGAUCCUUGUCAUGGGGAGCAUCGACGCCCGGACCAGACGUUUUCGGACGGUUCUGCGGUAGAGCAUGUAUGUUGGGACCCGAAAGAUGGUGAACUAUGCCUGAAUAGGGUGAAGCCMGAGGAAACUCUGGUGGAGGCUCGUAGCGAUUCUGACGUGCAAAUCUGAUCGUCAAAUUUGGGUAUAUGGGGCGAAA
rnacentral:rRNA from 1 species